rnacentral:rRNA from 1 species
GACGAACGCUGGCGGCGUGCUUAACACAUGCAAGUCGAACGGAAAGGCCCUGCUUUUGUGGGGUGCUCGAGUGGCGAACGGGUGAGUAACACGUGAGUAACCUGCCCUUGACUUUGGGAUAACUUCAGGAAACUGGGGCUAAUACCGGAUAGGCGCUCCUGCUGCAUGGUGGGGGUUGGUAAGUUUCGGCGGUUGGGGAUGGACUCGCGGCUUAUCAGCUUGUUGGUGGGGUAGUGGCUUACCAAGGAUUUGACGGGUAGCCGGCAUGAGAGGGUUACCGGCAACAGUGGGACUGAGAUACGGCGCAGACUGAUACGGGAGGAAGCAGUGGGGAAUAUUGCACAAUGGGCGGAAGCCUGAUGCAGGAACGCUGCGAGCGGGAUGACGGCCUUCGGGUUGUAAACCGCUUUAGCCUGUGACGAAGCGUGAGUGACGGUAAUGGGUAAAGAAGCACCGGCUAACUACGUG